GACGAACGCUGGCGGUGUGCUUAACACAUGCAAGUCGAACGGUAAGGCCCUUUCGGGGGUACACGAGUGGCGCACGGGUGAGUAACACGUGAGUAACCUGCCCUCAUCUCUGGGAUAACAGUCGGAAACGGUUGCUAAUACUGGAUAUGAGCUUGCAAGGCAUCUUGUGGGUUGGAAAGAUUUUUUUUGGUUGGGGAUGGACUCGCGGCCUAUCAGCUUGUUGGUGAGGUAGUGGCUCACCAAGGCUUCGACGGGUAGCCGGCCUGAGAGGGCGACCGGCCACAUUGGGACUGAGAUACGGCCCAAACUCCGACGGGAGGCAGCAGUGGGGAAUAUUGCACAAUGGACGGAAGUCUGAUGCAGCAACGCCGCGUGCGGGAUGACGGCCUUCGGGUUGUAAACCGCUUUCAAUUGUGACGAAGCUUUUUUGUGACGGUAGCAGUAGAAGAAGCACCGGCUAACUACGUG
rnacentral:rRNA from 1 species